UACACUCCGCCGGGUUGAACGGGCUACUUUGAUGUGGUAGAAUAUGUAGUGAUAAGCUUCGAGUGUAA
rnacentral:tRNA from 1 species